rnacentral:rRNA from 1 species
GACAGAGGGUGCGAGCGUUAAUCGGAGUGACUGGGCGUAAAGGGCGCGUAGGCGGUUGUAAGGGUCUGAUGUGAAAUGUCUGGGCUUAACCUGGGAUGUGCAUUGGAAACUGUAUGACUAGAGUCUAGGAGAGGAGAGUGGAAUUUCCGGUGUAGCGGUGAAAUGCGCAGAUAUCAGGAGGAACACCGGUGGCGAAGGCGGUUCUCUGGGCAUUACCUGACGCUGAGGAGCGAAAGUGUGGGGAGCGAACAGG